GAUAGUGUGGCCGAGUGGUCUAUGGCGCUGGUUUUAGGCACCAGUCUCUCAGGAGGCAAGGGUUCGAAUCCCUUCACUGUCA
rnacentral:tRNA from 1 species